AGGGAAUAGAUACCCGGGUAGUCCUGGCAGUAAACGGUGCACGUUUGGUGUGGGCGCAAUCGACCGCGUCCGCGCCGGAGCUAAACGCGUUAAACGUGCCGCCUGGGAAGUACGGUCGCAAGAUUAAAACUCAAAGAAAUUGACGGGGACCCGCACAAGCGGUGGAGUAUGUGGCUUAAUUCGAUGCAACGCGAAGAACCUUACCUGGUCUUGACAUGCAUUGUGUCUCCGGUGAAAGCCGGAUAGGGCAGCAAUGCCCGCUUUGCACAGGUGCUGCAUGGCUGUCGUCAGCUCGUGUCGUGAGAUGUUGGGUUAAG
rnacentral:rRNA from 1 species